rnacentral:lncRNA from 1 species
UCCUUGUGUGCCGGCGCGGCAAUCACCGACAGUAAAGAACCAACUGCCAUGUUGGGCCGACAUUUGCUUGCGCUUCAGCGCAAGAAGGGGCAGGGCGGUGCGGCGGGGACCGUUUAACCUCGGCCGCCAGCGACGACACAGAAUCCAAAAGUAUCACUGACUAGAAAAUGAGCGUCAUGUGUUUUUGUAGCCGCUGGCGCACUUGCUGUUGGGACCUCUUUGGGCGAAACCAGCAUUCACGACACCAACAAGGCAGAUGAAAGGGCGCCAUACAAGACCACUUCAUUGCGAGUCUCGAUCGGGCGGUGUGUGUUCGAUAACGCUGGGCGACGGCCGGUCAUUAGCCGGUUAACCGGCUAGCCGAUAUCUUCGAGCCAACCGGCUUGAGCCGGCUACAGGUCGUCGACAAAAAGGAGUGCGAGCACGAAUAACACGAGCACGAUUUGCGCACAAGAUUAUCCCGAGCGCGAACGCGACUGAGCCGAAUGCGAAUGCGAUUUCCUUGUUCUUCAGAAUUUGUGCACAAUGUUUUC